CCGUAUGGAGCGCUCCGGGAUGGCGCCGCUGUCCUCGCGGGACGGUCUGGAGCUGUUCGACACGGCGUGCACGGUC
rnacentral:tRNA from 1 species